UGGGGAAUCUUGCACAAUGGGGGCAACCCUGAUGCAGCGACGCCGCGUGAGCGAUGAAGCCCUUCGGGGCGUAAAGCUCUUUCGACCGGAACGAUAAUGACGGUACCGGGAGAAGAAGCUGCGGCUAACUACGUGCCAGCAGCCGCGGUAAUACGUAGGCAGCAAGCGUUGUUCGGAGUUACUGGGCGUAAAGAGUGCGUAGGCGGUUUUCUAAGUUCGGUGUGAAAUCUCCCGGCUUAACUGGGAGGGUGCGCCGAAGACUGGGAAGCUGGAGUGUGGGAAAGGCAGGCGGAAUUCCUGGUGUAGCGGUGAAAAGCGUAGAUAUCAGGAGGAACACCCGCGGUGUAGACGGCUUGCUAGACCAUAACUGACGCUGAGGCACGAAAGCGUGGGUAGCAAACA
rnacentral:rRNA from 1 species